rnacentral:rRNA from 1 species
CCUACGGGGGGCAGCAGUGAGGAAUAUUGGUCAAUGGCCGCAGGGCUGAACCAGCCAAGUCGCGUGAGGGAUGACGGUCCUAUGGAUUGUAAACCUCUUUUGUCAGGGAGCAAAGGGCGCCACGUGUGGCGUUUUGAGAGUACCUGAAGAAAAAGCAUCGGCUAACUCCGUGCCAGCAGCCGCGGUUAUACGGAGGAUGCGAGCGUUAUCCGGAUUUAUUUGGUUUAAAGGGUGCGCAGGCGGAAUGUCAAGUCAGCGGUAAAAUGUUGGGGCUCAACCCCGUCGUGCCGUUGAAACUGGCGUUCUUGAGUGAGCGAGAAGUAUGCGGAAGGCGUGGUGUAGCGGUGAAAUGCAUAGAUAUCACGCAGAACUCCGAUUGCGAAGGCAGCAUACCGGCGCUCAACUGACGCUCAGGCACGAAAGCGUGGGUAUCGAACAGGAUUAGAUACCCUUGUAGUC